GGAAACUUUUCUGCAAUAGGGACUAAUUGCUAGGAAGAAGUAAUUUUUUGCCUUCAGGCAUAAUGGCUGCUCAGUAAACACCCAAAUACAGAAAAACAUGCUUCUUAAGAUAUUAUGUUUAAAAAAAAAAACCCAAAACCCAACAGCUUUUCAGAGAUGCUUUCCAAGGGACUCCUUCUACCAUCCCCCCAACCAAUCUCCCCAUUACUACUCAGUAAGCAGCUCGAGGCAGCUUCUUAUAGAAUUCAGAUUAAUUUUUAAAUCAGCCAGACAAACCGGUUCUAUGGCAGAAAGCAUUGACAGUCUUAGCAGCAACACUACAAGCUACAUCUGUAUUAGCUCUUUCCUUUUCUCUUUGUUUGGAAGGUUGUAAUGACUUUGCAUGGCUAGUUAUCUCAGAUUUAUUUAUGUAAAGAACUUUACAGAGGGGGUCAAAUCUCCUCUGAAAGCAUUUAGCUAUCUCCAUAGUACAUAUAAGUAAUAAAUUCAUCCAGGUAAUUGCAAUGAAUGGAAUUUCUAUAUAUGCCUAAACAAGAGUUAAGUACUAAUACCAAAUUGAUAUUUCACUCAAAGUAGGGACUGGGGAACAGAAGAGAUUCUCCAGUUUGCCCCAUUUAUUGGUUAAUAUGGGCAGUACAAGACUUGCCAUUUUGGAUACAUUCAAGCCUUGCACUGGACAGGGCUUUGCUGGGGUACAGGUUCGGGCUCCUAGGCCCAAAUAUUCUUCUUGACAGUGAGCACAGAGUGAAGUAACAGAUGCAUUUCAAGUGAACUCCAAGCAAAUAGGCAUCGUAUUAUGCUGAACAACUAUGAAAGUUAUUGCUUAACACCAGUGAGUUUUGUGCAACUUGUUAGCACACAUCCAGGCUGCUGGAAGAGCUGCAGUGCUGCUUCUCCACCACCUGAAAUAUCCUGGUUUCAUAAAAUAUACUCACCAGACGUAAAAUAAGGUAAUAGAAAUGAUUUUUUAUUUAAUAUUUGGAUUACCUGAGGACAAUGGCAGUUUUCAGUCUGAAAGGCUUAUCUGAACUGUGAUCUUUGCUCUUCUGAAAACCUUUUCAGUUUGAGUUUGUACAGUGCUCACCAGCAGUAACUUCUUGCUUCUAAACUGCUUUUUACCCAUCACUUCUAUCUAAAUUAUAUUUAUAAAGAGUAGUUACAUAACUCUACUCUUCUGAGACUGAUGCUCAUUCCUUUGGGAUCUCCUCCCCAGAUGCCACAUAUAAUAUUUCUUCAGUAAGCUCAGUGUGAAAUCGAGGAUCCCACAUAACUUUCUGAAUUUGGGUUCCCAGAUGGUACUGCAGCAUGCUGCUUAGCUACUCAAUUAGCAGCAAGUACCCUUUGGUAAAUGGUUAAUUUUAAUCUUGUUUGAGGAUAUUUAAUUUCAGUUAGCCUAAUCAGUGUCAUACCCAACAGAAAUACCUGCAAUGCAUUUAGGCAGUGUUGAAGGGAAGAAGAAAGAUGCAUUGUCAGGCAUUUCUCAGGGAGUCAGAAGGCUGGAUCAGCACUUCAGCUGAGUCAUCAGUAGGUCCAAGGCAGCAGUGGACAUUCUGCACUCAGAAAACAUCCAGCGCUGACCUCCUGGAAACUUCUGAAGUUCAACUGGAUUUCCACUAGAAAGAAGUUUAAAACUCAAAGGUACUGGAUACUGAUUUGUGAGUCCAAACAAAGAGACAUACAUAAGUAACAAGCUCACCAGCUAUGGAUUUGCUCGUUCACAAAGCAAUUUUUUCAAGUGAAAUGGGGAGAGCUUAUCUCAGCUACAAAGAAAAAGUGAUUUCACAGUAAUGCAUGGUACCUGCAACAUCUUCGAGAUCUGUUACAACAAUGUGUGCAUUUAGCUCCUGUAAUUUAUGAUGCAAAUCUUCUAACUUCUUAUUAGAUUUUUUCAAAAUGUUGUCCACAUAUGCCAAGUUCUUUUUAUCCGUUGUGACCUUCCUGAGGU